CCCUUAGAUGUUCUGGGCUGCACGCGCGCUACACUGAUGCACUCAACGAGUUUACGACCUUGCCCGAUAGGGUUGGGUAAUCUUUUUAAAAUGCAUCGUGAUGCGGAUAGAUUAUUGCAAUUAUUAAUCUUCAACGAGGAAUUCCUAGUAAGCGCGAGUCAUCAGCUCGUGCUGAUUACGUCCCUGCCCUUUGUACACACCGCCCGUCGCUCCUACCGAUUGAGUGCUCAGGUGAAUAAUUCGGACUGCAGCAAUGUUUGGAUCCCGAACGUUGCAGCGGAAAGUUUAGUGAACCUUAUCACUUAGAGGAAGGAGAAGUCGUAACA
rnacentral:rRNA from 1 species